rnacentral:rRNA from 1 species
AUACGGAGGGUGCAAGCGUUACUCGGAAUUACUGGGCGUAAAGGACGCGUAGGCGGUUUUUAAAGUCAGAUGUGAAAGCCUAUGGCUUAACCAUAGAACUGCAUUUGAAACUUCUAAACUAGAGUGAGGGAGAGGUCAGUGGAAUUAGUGGUGUAGGGGUAAAAUCCGUAGAGAUCACUAGGAAUACUCAUAGCGAAGGCGACUGACUGGAACUUUACUGACGCUGAGGCGUGAAAGCGUGGGGAGCAAACAGGAUUAGAAACCCCGGUAGUCC